GGAUCCAGACUUUGAUCCUGGCUCAGGAUGAACGCUAGCUACAGGCUUAACACAUGCAAGUCGAGGGGAAACGAUAGAGAAAGCUUGCUUUUUCUAGGCGUCGACCGGCGCACGGGUGAGUAACGCGUAUCCAACCUGCCCAUCACUUGGGGAUAACCUUGCGAAAGUAAGACUAAUACCCAAUGAUAUCUCUAGAAGACAUCUGAAAGAGAUUAAAGAUUUAUCGGUGAUGGAUGGGGAUGCGUCUGAUUAGCUUGUUGGCGGGGUAACGGCCCACCAAGGCGACGAUCAGUAGGGGUUCUGAGAGGAAGGUCCCCCACAUUGGAACUGAGACGCGGUCCAAACUCCUACGGGAGGCAGCAGUGAGGAAUAUUGGUCAAUGGGCGAGAGCCUGAACCAGCCAAGUAGCGUGCAGGAAGACGGCCCUAUGGGUUGUAAACUGCUUUUAUAAGGGAAUAAAGUGGGAGUCGUGACUCCUUUUGCAUGUACCUUAUGAAUAAGGACCGGCUAAUUCCGUGCCAGCAGCCGCGGUAAUACGGAAGGUCCGGGCGUUAUCCGGAUUUAUUGGGUUUAAAGGGAGCGUAGGCCGGAGAUUAAGCGUGUUGUGAAAUGUAGACGCUCAACGUCUGCACUGCAGCGCGAACUGGUUUCCUUGAGUACGCACAAAGUGGGCGGAAUUCGUGGUGUAGCGGUGAAAUGCUUAGAUAUCACGAAGAACUCCGAUUGCGAAAGCAGCUCACUGGAGCGCAACUGACGCUGAAGCUCGAAAGUGCGGGUAUCGAACAGGAUUAGAUACCCUGGUAGUCCGCACGGUGAACGAUGGAUGCCCGCUGUUGGUCUGAAUAGGUCAGCGGCCAAGCGAAAGCAUUAAGCAUCCCACCUGGGGAGUACGCCGGCAACGGUGCAACUCAAAGGAAUUGACGG
rnacentral:rRNA from 1 species